UACAGAGGGGGCAAGCGUUGUUCGGAAUUACUGGGCGUAAAGGGCGCGUAGGCGGCCGCCUAAGUCAGACGUGAAAUCCCUCGGCUCAACCGGGGAACUGCGUCUGAUACUGGGUGGCUUGAAUCCGGGAGAGGGAUGCGGAAUUCCAGGUGUAGCGGUGAAAUGCGCAGAUAUCAGGAGGAACACCGGUGGCGAAGGCGGGUCUCUGGGCCGAUACUGACGCUGAGGAGCGAAAGCGUGGGGAGCAAACAGG
rnacentral:rRNA from 1 species